rnacentral:rRNA from 1 species
UAACGGUCAAAGCGGAGGUGUAACAUCCGAUCCCAUCCCGAUCUCGGAAAUUAAGCCCUCCAGCGAUUCUUUAAGUACUGCUAUCUAGUGGGAACAAAGUGACGCCGUUAGUCA